UACGAAGGGGGCUAGCGUUGCUCGGAAUCACUGGGCGUAAAGCGCACGUAGGCGGAUUGUUAAGUCAGGGGGUGAAAUCCUGGAGCUCAACUCCAGAACUGCCUUUGAUACUGGCGAUCUUGAGUCCGGGAGAGGUGAGUGGAACUCCGAGUGUAGAGGUGAAAUUCGUAGAUAUUCGCAAGAACACCAAUUGCGAAGGCAGCUUACUAUGGUGUCAUUACGCUGAGGCACGAAAGCGUGGGGGAUCAAAACAGG
rnacentral:rRNA from 1 species